ACAGAGGGGGCAAGCGUUGUUCGGAAUUACUGGGCGUAAAGGGCGCGUAGGCGGCCUUCUAAGUCAGACGUGAAAUCCCCGGGCUCAACCCGGGAACUGCGUCUGAUACUGGAGGGCUUGAAUCCGGGAGAGGGAUGUGGAAUUCCAGGUGUAGCGGUGAAAUGCGUAGAUAUCUGGAGGAACACCGGUGGCGAAGGCGGCAUCCUGGACCGGUAUUGACGCUGAGGCGCGAAAGCCAGGGGAGCAAACGGG
rnacentral:rRNA from 1 species